rnacentral:rRNA from 1 species
GAGUUUGAUCGUGGCUCAGAUUGAACGCUGGCGGCAUGCCUUACACAUGCAAGUCGAACGGCAGCAUGAUCUAGCUUGCUAGAUUGAUGGCGAGUGGCGAACGGGUGAGUAAUACAUCGGAACGUGCCCUGUAGUGGGGAGUAACUAGUCGAAAGAAUUAGUCUAAUAACCGCCAUACGACCUGAGGGUGGAAAGUAGGGGGACCGG